GUUGGAAUGUCUGCUAGUUUCGGUUUGGAUUUUUUGCUAGCGCCUACCCCACGGAAGGAGCUGGAAAAGCUGGUGACAAGAAUGUGGAGGAUGAAUGCUCGUACUUGGCCUCAACAAUCCAAAAGAAGAAAGUGCGAGUCAAGGGAGAGCCAGAAAGCCCACCCCACGGAGAUAAGUCGUGAGGACACACUGAGAGACACAGUGUAAUUUGCCAGCCCCACCAAGUCGCCACAGCCAGUCCAAAAAAGAGGGACAGGUGGACCAACCAGGCACCCCAGACGCCAACCACCACCUGGACCCACCACAAUUCACCUUCACCAUCCCCCCCAACACCAGAAGAUCCAGACGACCCCACCCACCGAUAGGCGCUGAAACGAUGGUCAGGCACCACCCAGCAGGAUGACAGUUUGAAACUGGUGAAGAGGGGUGGGGAAUCUUCAAGUUGGGAGGUGAAUAUGUUGACUAAAGGAGGCCUCCACAAAAUGAGAAAGGAAAUCCCCACCCCUCACAGCUAACUAACCAGGCCCAAGAAGUCAUGCCAUGACCCUUGAGCCACUCUCCAAAUCCCAUGCUCCUGUUCUGGCGGCGGCAACGGCUCUGUGGCUGUCCCACGUUCCUGUACAGCAGGCAGCAAUGGCUCGUCGGCCGUCCCACGUUCCUGUCCAGCAGGUGGCGAUGGCUCGUCGGCCACCUCAUGUUCCUGUCCAGGCAGUCGUCUCACCUCCCUUUUUUGACGGCGACAGGUAUUCUUCCGUCUCCCGUUCCUGUCUCGACAGCGACAGGCUGGACCAUGGCCAAGAGGGGUGUGGCUACUGCCCUGGCCGGAGACACCUGUCACCGCUCUCGGCUGUUUAACAUUGGGGCUGUAAUUAGAUAAUGUAUUUAAGUUUGAGUUUUGUCACUGGCAUUUUCCAGUUCGUUGUGUUUUUUAGUGAGUUGCACUGUGUUGCUGUGUGCAGAAACUCCUGCAAUAAAACCUACUGGUCAUAAUGCCAUGGACCCGGAGUCCUGCAUUUGAGUCUCCCCCACACCAGAGGUUCAUGAUAAGAGAUAGUUUUAAAACGCUAGGAAAAGCUGUAAUCCCUUUGCUUGAAUGCGUUUUCUCUGGGAACUUGGGUUUCCUCUCACAUCCCAAAAACAUGCAUUAAAUGGAGACUCUAAAAUGCCCCUAGGUCUGAUUCCGAGUGUGAAUGUUGUCUGCCUCUGUGUGCCCUGUGAUUGGCUGGCAACCAGUUCAAGGUGAACCCCGCCUCAUGCCCGAUGACAGCUGCGAUAGGUUCCAGAACUCCCGCAAGGAGUGAGGAUAAGUGGCUCAGAAAUUGAAUGGAUGGAUGGAUGAAAAGCUGUUUUUGUACGAACUCUCACUGGUUUUAGCUUUUUAGGAGUCAUAUGGCAGUAAGAAAGAAAGUUCUUCAGUCUGAAAGUCAUGCAUUUAAAUUUUAUGUCUGGCCUCAGGUAAGAAGUAUGACUAGUCUGUGCUGGGGGCCAUAGGAAUUGUUGAUGAUGGCUUUUCAUUUUUACUGAUGGUGGUGCACUAAUUUACAUUUGACUCCAGUCUUGAAUUUAUCGAUGAAGAAUCUGUGUAAAAAAUAAAGACCUUUGUAUGGUCAGCCAAUGAUCGGUACUGUUUUGAAACAGAGAUUUUAUCACCCCAGUAAAUGUCAGUAUUAUGUAAAUCCAUACGACAUGUUUGUCAGUGUCCAAUGUACUGUAAAUAUGCAUCAUUGGAGCGAUAAAGCCAUAUGAAAGGCUGUUUUCAAUGAAGUCGGCAGGGAUGUUCUGGUUGUGGGGGUGGGACUCUGACUUCUGGUCUUCCAUUCUAAUAUUCCUUUGUAUCACUUUAAUGUUCAUAUAAUGACAUCCCCUCCAAGUUUGUGUCAUGGUCCAUCAAGAAUCAUAAUUGUAAAGUGAUUCAUUGACUGAUGUUGUCAACAUGGCUACUGUCAAGAGAAACCGAUCCGCCAUAAAAAGAAUAUGACUCUCUAAUGAAUAUAUCAAUAACCAGUGACAGGUGAAGGAGUGCCCCUGACGACAUUUCAAAUAAGCACUAACACCCCAAUAGUGGAAGGCUUCAUUUGUUUUGGUGCACCACACUGAGGCACAGCUUGUGUGGUAAUAACACAAUUACAGUAAAAACAAAGCAAAUUUAUUUGGUACAAUAUAGCACAUUUCCUACACACGGGAGCACAAUGUGCUUUACAUGAUUAAAGCAUUUUAAUAAAUAAAGACAAAGAAUACCAAACAUAGUUUAAAACACACACACACAGUUGUGUUCAGAAUAAUAGCAUUCCCAUAUUAGUAGCAAGAUAAAUUACUGUUUUUGUUCAAUUUUCAACUUCUACAAUCCAAGUAAAUUUUUAGAAAAUUUUGUAAAAGGUGUACCUACUAACGAACUAAACUAACAGACCCAACAGGCAUGAGGAUUAUACUUCUGAUUCUGUGAAACUGAAUCAUUGACUGACAGGGGCAUCUUCAAAAUAAUAGCAGUGCCGAGUUCAAUUAGUGAGGUCAUUGAUUGUGUGUGUGUGUUGUUAAAAAUGUGGCCUUUAUUUAAGAAUCAAGGACUUUGCAUAUGAUGACUGUGCAUUUGUCCUUGAAAAAAGAGAAAAUGGGUCCUUCAAGACACUGUUCUGAAGUAGAGCGUUAUUUGAUUGAGAAAUUAAUAAAAGUGAGCGUUAUUUGAUUAAGAAAAUAAUAAAAGUGAGAAAACAUAUAUCAAACACUUUAAAAUGGGAGCCACAUAAGAAAGACGAGGAAGAAAAAGUAAACCUACUGUUCGAACGUAGAAUAACCAAAAUGGCAGAGACUCGGAAAAUUAUCAGCACCAGGAGGAUCAAACAAGCUCUAAGAUUGCCUGUGAGUACUGAUUGUCUCAGACGACGUUUAUGUGAAGCCUAACUACCACCGAGAAGACCCCGACAAGUCCCAUUGUUUAAAAAAAGACAUGCUGAAGUGGUUGCAAUUCGCCAAAGAACACAAUGACUGGUCCAAAAAGAAAUGGUGUAAUAUUUUAUGGACUGAUGAGAGGAAGAUUGUUCUUUUGGAUCCAAGGGCCACAGACACUGAAUUCAAGCCACAGUACACAGUGAAGACAGAUAAACUAUUUCCAACUUUCUUACUUUGAAAUAGAAACUGCAGUGUCCUCAAUGCAUUUCUGUUCAUUACAUACA